AUGAGUGCCUGUCCAACCCAUUUUUUGAUGCAUUGCAGCGGUCUCGCUACCGGUCACGUCGUGGCCGGAAAUGCGCUUCCGGGGCAGCGUGUCAGCACAGCAGUCAAGCCGCUUGCCUCGUCAGUCGGGGCGGCGGCUUUUUUG
rfam:Paraburkholderia tropica strain P-31 P31_contig_27, whole genome shotgun sequence.